rnacentral:rRNA from 1 species
GAUGAACGCUAGCGGCAGGCUUAACACAUGCAAGUCGAGGGGCAGCAUGGGACGGAGAUUCGUUGAAGUCCUGAUGGCGACCGGCGCAAGGGUGCGUAACGCGUGAGCAACUUGCCCGUUUCUGGGGGAUAACCGGUGGAAACGCCGACUAAUACCCCAUGGUGAUGUUAGGGGGCAUCUCCUUACAUCUAAAGAUAUCGGAAACGGAUAGGCUCGCGUGACAUUAGCUAGAUGGCGGGGUAACGGCCCACCAUGGCGACGAUGUCUAGGGGUUCUGAGAGGAAGGUCCCCCACACUGGAACUGAGACACGGUCCAGACUCCUACGGGAGGCAGCAGUGGGGGAUAUUGCGCAAUGGGGGAAACCCUGACGCAGCAACGCCGCGUGCAGGAUGACGGCCUUCGGUUGUAACUUCUUUGUCUGAGGUAAAAGACGGACGU